GCCUUUGUAGUUCAAUGUAAGAACACUUCCCCUGCUCUGUGGGAAGAAAUCUGGGUUCAACUCCCAGCAAAGGCC
rnacentral:tRNA from 1 species